UUGAAGUUUUAUUGGAGCUCUUCAAAUCCUGAUGUGUGUCAGGUGCAAUCUGUUUAUGCUCUGAGUGGAGUUGCUGUAGAAAGUGAAAAUGACUUCCGUGUUGAUUUGUAUUGUAUUAAUCCUGGCCAAACUACAGUGCAACUAAGGGUAGAGAUUGCCGACCACAGAUAUCAGCAGGCUCACUCCCUCGCUUUGUUGGAAGAUGAUGUAACAUUUGAAGUCUAUGAAAGACUUCAGCUGAUCUUCCCUGCUUCUGGAUUUCUCCUCUUGCCUAACAAUGUGAA